UCUGUCUCCUCUAGCAGAGAUUUAACCAAAAAAUGCCUCCCUUACGAGGACUUGCUACCUAGGCACCAUCCACAAAACUUAACGGCAUGGGAGAUUGCGUUCGUUGGUUGAAUCGUAAAAGGAUUAAAGCACGCGUUUGGGCGUGAUUGGAUUGUUGCCUUGCUCCCAGUGCUGCUGGUUGAUCUGCUUCGAAUCAGGCGGUGAAUUCGAGCCUGAGACAGCCCACUGACGAGAGGAAUCGGCAUUCAAAAUGAUGGUCCAAGCAUUCCAUCUCUAAGUUCUGAGGCACUGGUUUGAUUGCGGCGCUUGUUUAUCCAAGUACGUCCCUGUUCCUAUGCUCUGCGUUUGAGUGAUUAUGGCCUGCAUGUGAGUAACGGUGAUCUGGUAAGGAAUCGAGAGGCCAAUAAUGAAAUUGAAUUGGUUCUGUGGUGAACCGAGACUGUGAUGGAGAUCCGGGGAUGGUUGCUGGCAUCGACGGCAGGCGUUGAGGGGAAGGAGGUUUCCGGGAAGGAAGUUGGCAUCUCUGGAUCUCAAGGUUUCACUGGCAAUAUAGUUUUGUCUUAUUUAUUGAUGACGCUUCAUUCAGCUUUUUGAAUAAGGGGAAGAAAUCAUCGACUCUGUAAAAUCUGACAGCAUAUGAGCGGUUUCAACUAUUGGAAGACUUCGAUUUGAUGCUCCCUUCCUCCAAGUUCUUUACAACUUGUCAAGUACCAA